GGGCGCUGGCUGGCGCAGUUGGUAGAGCGCCCGUACCAUGUACUGCGGCUAUAGUCCUUAAGGCGGUUGUCCCCGGUUCGAUUCCUGGGCCAUUCG